rnacentral:lncRNA from 10 species
ACAUUCAGUAAUGGAUGGAACUUUCAGAAAGAAGAUCAGUAAGGAAAUAGGAGUCUUAAACAACUUUAUAAUUCUGUAUAUUUCUGUUAUAACAACUAACAGAAAUAUACAGAACAUUCUACUCAACAGCAGCGGAAUACACGAUCUUCCCAAGCACACACAGAACUUUCUACAGGAUAGGUCACAAGUUAGGUCACAAAACAAGUCUUAACAAAUUUAAGAAGACUGAAAUCAUACCAAGUA